AAUCUUAGCGCGGUCAGGCUGGGUCUUGCAGCGCUCACUCUUCCCAGGAUGCUUUUUGGAACCCAUCCACCAUCUGAGAGAUAAUAAGAAGCUUCUCUAGGACUUGUGAUUUUGGUUUCAGCAGCUCCUUCCACGUUUGAGAAGAGUCUUCUCAUUUCUUACUCAUAGAACAUCCCAUCAGACAUUUCUCCUGAUCCACAUAGUAAUUCAGGGAUCCAGGCUUCUUCCAUAAGGUGAUUCAACCAUCUUCUAUGGGCUCAGAGUCUUUUGAAUCCAGGCAGAAGAGAGAAUAAGGAACUCGCACCUGCUUCUUGAAAGUCUUCACCCUAAAGUGACAUACAUCACUUCUGCUCUCAGUCCAUUGAACAUAACUUGUCUUAUGGCUUCAACUAGCUGCAAGGGCCUCUGGGAAAUGUAGUCCUGGUCUAGGCAGUCAAUAAACAUCCUGCUGGCUCUGCCACA